rnacentral:lncRNA from 1 species
AAAGAACUCAAAAUAAGGUUGCACUUUUCUGUUGAAAAUUGAAUUAAAAUGGAAUUUAAAAAUACAAUGUUCACUAGUGACAUGAAUGAAGGAUCUGCUGAGCUGUAGCACUGAAUCUGAAGGAAGUAGUCUGUGUUACAGAACUGAACUCUGAAUAGUGCUACUUGUCUUUAACUUAUAUCUGAGAGUCCUAAGUCUGAGCAUACAAUAUCAACAAGAAAAGUGAAUAAAGUGAAUAUUCUCUUAUUUAAAUCCUAAGUAUAAAAUGGGAAUGACUAAAUUAUACCACUCUCUCUCUCUCUCCCUUUUUUUUUUUUUUUUUUUUUAAGGAAAAAAUUAUCAGGAACACAAAAUGUACUGAUAGGAAAUAUUGAAAAACAUGGAGAAAAUUAAUACUAUUUGGAACAAACUGAGAACUGCACGCGGUAUGCAUUAAAUGUAAUUUCAUUGACUGAGUCCUGCAUAUCCUAUGCAAAGAGAGUAGGAAAACCACAGUUAAUCUGAAAUAAAGCCACACAAGCUUGAAUUCAGCUGCACGGGCAGCCUUAAAUUUUGUAUUUUAGGGUACUUGACAAAAUAUUAAAUAAUGAUUUCUGACAUAAUAUUUCUUUUUUUUUUUCCUAACUGAUCUGGAAGAAUUAAAAGAUCUAUGAACACAUUGGCUAUCUGCAUUAUGGGAAUACAUGAAAGACUGUUCAGAGCAGAAGCUGUGGAGCAAGAUAAAAGGCAUGAGAAAGGAAUGCUGAAAACCAAGCACAACAAAAGCCAAGCACAGUCAUGGGGUGAGUGAAUGGCCACUAGGUGCUGAGCUGCUGCUGGGUUAAGCUAUAUUGGGCAAAUACACAUAUGUUCCUCCUCUGUUUGAAAUAACAUAAGGCACUGUUUUGUUCCCUUGAUGACAUGGCAGUUUCAUAAAGCAUAGGAUGAUGCUCUUAUAAUGAGCAACUGUAUAAUUAAUGUUCAUGGAACAAGGUGUUCAUCAGCUCCUGAGUCUUUGCUGUUCACAGAGGCAGCAGUAUGCAAGAAAACACCUACUUCAGGAAAAUUACCCACCUCUGUGAAGUAUUUGGCCCCAAGCGUUGCUAACCUAAAAAUACAUCUAGCUUAGUGUAUGGACAUCAACUUCUUUUGAAACAUCAGCUUCUAAAACUGUCUGUCCUCUGGACUUGCUAUAUUCUUCUGUUAUUUCUAUUGGUCAUAUAAUUUAUUUAUUUUCCUUUUCUUCACAAUAAAUUUUAAUUUUUUUGUAUGCUUCUGCA